rnacentral:rRNA from 1 species
AAUGAACGUUGGCGGCGUGGAUUAGGCAUGCAAGUCGAGCGAGAACCGUAGCAACACGGGGACAGCGGCGAAAGGGAGAGGAACACGUGGGUACCUACCCCCAGGACUGGGAUAGCCACGGGAAACUGUGGGUACUACCGUAUAACGUCUCCGGACCAAAGGUGUGAUUACGCCUGGGGAGAGGCCCGCGUCCUAUCAGCUUGUUGGUGAGGUAACGGCCCACCAAGGCUAAGAUGGGUACGGGGUGUGAGAGCAUGACCCCGCGCACUGGGACUGAGACACUGCCCGUACACCGACGGGUGGCUGCAGUCGAGAAUCUUCGGCAAUGGGCGCAAGCCUGACCGAGCGACGCCGCGUGCGAGAUGAAGGCCCUCUGGUUGUAAACCGCUGUCAGGGGGGAGGAAAUUCCAAGUGGUUCUCUCCUUGGUUUGACCUAUCCUCAGAGGAAGUACGGGCUAAGUUCGUGCCAGCAGCCGCCGUAAUAC